rnacentral:rRNA from 1 species
GUUAGUGCACCUUCGGGUGCGCGACGCUCAGAACUUAAGCGCCAGUAAACGGCGGUGGUAACUAUAACCAUCCUAAGGUAGCGAAAUUCCUUGUCGGGUAAGUUCCGACCUGCACGAAUGGCGUAACGACUUCUCCGCUGUCUCCACCGCGGACCCGGUGAAAUUGCACUACGAGUGAAGAUGCUCGUUACGCGCGGCAGGACGGAAAGACCCCGGGACCUUUACUACAGCUUGGUAUUGGUGUUCGGUACGGCUUGUGUAGGAUAGGUGGGAGACUGUGAAACUCGGACGCCAGUUCGAGUGGAGUCAACGUUGAAAUACCACUCUGGUCGUUCUGGAUAUCUAACCUAGGUCCGUGAUCCGGAUCAGGGACAGUGCCUGGUGGGUAGUUUAACUGGGGCGGUUGCCUCCAAAAGAGUAACGGAGGCGCUCAAAGGUUCCCUCAGCCUGGUUGGCAAUCAGGUGUCGAGUGCAAGUGCACAAGGGAGCUUGACUGUGAGACUGACAAGUCGAGCAGGGACGAAAGUCGGAACUAGUGAUCCGGCGGUGGCAUGUGGAAGCGCCGUCGCUCAACGGAUAAAAGGUACCCCGGGGAUAACAGGCUGAUCUUCCCCAAGAGUCCAUAUCGACGGGAUGGUUUGGCACCUCGAUGUCGGCUCGUCGCAUCCUGGGGCUGGAGUAGGUCCCAAGGGUUGGGCUGUUCGCCCAUUAAAGCGGUACGCGAGCUGGGUUUAGAACGUCGUGAGACAGUUCGGUCCCUAUCCGCCGCGCGCGUAGGAAACUUGAGAAGGGCUGUCCCUAGUACGAGAGGACCGGGACGGACGAACCUCUAGUGUGCCAGUUGUCCUGCCAAGGGCACGGCUGGUUGGCCACGUUCGGAAGAGAUAACCGCUGAAAGCAUCUAAGCGGGAAGCUCGCUUCAAGAUGAGGUUUCCCACAGGGUUAACCUGGUAAGGCCCCCAGAAGAUGACUGGGUUGAUAGGCCGGAGGUGUAAGUGCGGCAACGCAUGUAGCCGACCGGUACUAAUAGGCCGAGGGCUUGACCAC